rnacentral:rRNA from 1 species
CUACGGGCUGCAGCAGCUGCGAAUUUUCUACAAUGCACGCAAGUGUGAUAGAGCGAGCCAAAGUGCUUAUCGUACAGAUAAGCUUUUCUUCAGUGUAAAAACCUGGAGGAAUAAGGACUGGGAAAGAUCGGUGCCAGCCGCCGCGGUAAUACCGACAGUUCGAGUGGCAUCCAACUUUAUUGGGUCUAAAACAUCCGUAGCUUGUUAUUUAAGUCUCUUGUGAAAUCUAACGUCUCAAGCGUUAGGCUUGCAGGAGAUACUGAAUAGCUAGAGACCGGUAGGCGUAAGGAGUACGGCGAAGGUAGUGGUAAAAUAUGUUAAUCUUCGUUGGACUAACGAUUUAGCGAAGGCACCUUACGAGGACGGAUCUGACAGUCAGGGAUGAAGGCCAGGGGCGCAAAACGGAUUAGAUACCCCUGUAGUC